ACUUCUUCUCAGUCUUUUGGCUAAAAUCAAGUGUAGUAUCUGUUCUUAUCAGUUUAAUAUUAUACUAACUUAUAUUCAACAAGAAUACCAACAAAAGUUCUGAGAAAAGCCAAGCCAA
ensembl:snRNA U2 U2 spliceosomal RNA